rnacentral:rRNA from 1 species
GAUGAACGCUGGCGGCGUGCCUAAUACAUGCAAGUCGAGCGAACGGACGAGAAACUUGCAUCUCUGGGGUUAGCGGCGGACGGGUGAGUAACACGUGGAUAACCUACCUAUAAGACGGGGACAACUUCGGGAAACGGUAGCUAAUACCGGAUAAUAUCUUUAACCGCAAGGUUCAAGAGUGAAAGACGGUCUUGCAGUAACCAAUGGAUGUACCCCCGCGGCAUUAGCAAGUUGGUAAGGUAACGGCCAACCAAGGGAACGAUGCUUAGCCGACCGAGGAGGGUGUUCGGCCCCACUGGAACUGGGACCCGGCCCAGCCUCCUACGGGAGGCGGCAGUGGGGAAUCUUCCGCAUUGGGCGAAGGCCUGCCGGAGCACCGCCGCGUGAGGGAUGAAGGUCUUCGGAUCGUAAACCUCUGUUAUUAGGGAAGAACAUAUGUGUAAGUAACUGUGCACAUCUUGACGGUACCUAAUCAGAAAGCCACGGCUAACUACGUG